rnacentral:lncRNA from 10 species
CCAGCCUGUCCUUCUGCAGCCCGGGAGUCAUGCUCCCAGCAGAAGAGGCAGUGAGAAAGCGAGGGGCUCAGAAAUGUACCCACUGGAUGGAUCAAGGCCAUAGGAGCGUAUGAAAGAAUUUGCUGGUUCUCCCUCCAUGGCCAUCCCCACUUUUGUGUAGUAAUAGAUGUGGACACAUGGCCAACCAGAACAAAGAGCUCAGCUCCCCUGUGCGGUCUCGUGACUAAAUCCUAGGCUAUGGGGAGAGCAUUCCAGUGAUGUGAGAGGCCUCGGAGGCACAUCCUUCUGGGGCGUGCCUUCCCUUCAUUGUCUCCCCUUUCUGCUGGCUGGAUGGGGAUGUGGAGGAGAGGACCCUUGGACCAUGGGGAUGGGAGCAACGUGCCAGGCAUGGCAGCGCAAUAGAGGUGGGUUCUACCAAAGGAGCUGCUCUACCCAUCCUGGACUGCUUCUAUCUGGAUGUUGAGCAAGUGUCCCCACUGUGACCUAGCAACAUCCUCCCAAUGCACAUGGUGUCUGACGCAAAAUGGAGGAGAAGGAGUUGGCAGAAAGAAGGGAAGAAAAGGUGGGAAGAAGCCUAGAGAAGAAUAUUUAGGUUUGAAGAGUGUGAUUUACUGUUACCUUGAACCCAAAUUAUUUUGUUUGUUUGUUUGUUUGUUUGGGGCAUUUGCCAAAUGUGUAGUCUCACCGUGUAACUGACUGUGUGGAUGAAGCCAUGUUCAUCCACUGAGCUCUGAGCCAUCAGGAGCCCUGGGAGGUGAGUGCGUCUCACAUAUCAUCUUAAAUCACCAGGGCUAGACCAGAAACUAAACACUUCCCCAGGUUUUCUCUCACUAUUUCCUUCAGGAUCAGAUGCUGCCUACAGCCAGAGACCUAAUGCUGUCUUUCCAGCUAAACUGGGAUCUCCAUGAAGUCGGGAUAUAUCUUAUUUGUUUUUAUAAUCUCAACAAUCUGGCAUAGAGUACCAGGCAAAGAAGGAAUGAAUGAGUGAGUGUGUAGAUAAAUGGACAGAUGGAGGGAUAGAUGGAGGGAUGGAUGGAAGGAUGGGUGGGUGGGUGGGUGGAUGCAUAGAUGGAUGGAUGGAUGGAUGGAUAAAUGUUGGAAGGAAGGAAAGAAAAGAAGGAAGAAUGGACAGAUAGGUGAAUAAAUGAUAGAAGGAAGGAAGAAAGGAAGGGUGAAGGAAUGGAUGGAUAGGUGGGUGGAUGGAUGGAUAGAUAGAGGGAUGGUGAAUACGUGGAUGGACAGAUGAAUGCAUGGAUGAUAGACAAUAAUAGUGAAUAGUUUUGAGCUCUUAUUAUGUUCCAGGCAAUUUACACAGAUAAUUUCAUUUAAUUUUCCUCCAUGACUUUCAACAUAUGCAAAAUAAACUUCAGGAAGGUGAAAUCACGUACCUGAAAUGGCACGAAAGUCGAUUAGACUCCUGAGUGAGUGUUCUAAACUAUUAUACCCUAAUGCUGAAUAAAUGAAUGAAUACAUGAAGAAAUGACUUAUCUGUAUAUAAAUUUUGCUCCAAGGAUAUACAAAAGCUAGGCCAGGCAUGGCAUGGUGGCUCAUGCCUGUAAUCCCAGCACUUUGGGAGGCCAAGGCAGGUGGAUCACAUGAAGUCAGGAGUUCGAGACCAGCCUGACCAACAUGAUGAAACCCUGUUUCUACUAAAAAUACAAAAUUAGCAGGGCGUGGUGGUGCAUUCCUGUAAUCCCAGCUACUUGGGAGGCUAAGACAGGAGAAUCACUUGAACUCGGGAGGUGGAGGUUGCAGUGAGCCAAGAUCAUGCCAUUGUACUCCAGCCUGGGCAACAGAGCAAGACUGUCUCCAAAAAAAAAAAAAAAAAAAGUUAAUUCUGCUCACUUCUCUCUAAAGUGACAGGCCAAGGUUUAAGAAAAUCUGUAUAUUUGGAUUUUCUGCCAGUUAUAAGUGAAUAUUAUGUGGUGAAGUGGCACAUUCACAGGGGAAGGACACUUCCAGAAGGCUAAUUCUGAGAAGAUUCUGGGCUUUUCCCACUCACCCAACCUGAUAAUUAAUAGGAGCCAGGAAGAAGCCCCUGAAUUUCUAAGUGCCGAUUCCCGCUGUACCAGCACUCCAAACAUCUGAAGGAAAAACAGUUUGUUAAUUGCUGUCUAGACAGUUUAUUGCGGCAAUAAGAUCAAAACCAAGAAUCCUGAGGUUUGUGGUAUGAAUCAUGCAGACUAAACAAUUGUUUUAUUGCAUUUACAGAGAACUUGAUUUAUAACUGCACUGGGUAAUAAAAUUCCUUCAUGGUUUAUCCGAAAUAAUUUUGCUUCUUUUACACCACUCUGUGAUAAUCCCACCUCUCUG